rnacentral:rRNA from 1 species
UAUGUAGGGUGCAAGCGUUGUCCGGAAUUAUUGGGCGUAAAGAGCUCGUAGGCGGUUUGUCGCGUCUGCUGUGAAAACCCGAGGCUCAACCUCGGGCCUGCAGUGGGUACGGGCAGACUAGAGUGCGGUAGGGGAGAUUGGAAUUCCUGGUGUAGCGGUGGAAUGCGCAGAUAUCAGGAGGAACACCAAUGGCGAAGGCAGAUCUCUGGGCCGUGACUGACGCUGAGGAGCGAAAGCAUGGGGAGCGAACAGG